AGUGAACGCUGGCGGUAGGCCUAACACAUGCAAGUCGAACGGCAGCACAGUAAGAGCUUGCUCUUACGGGUGGCGAGUGGCGGACGGGUGAGGAAUACAUCGGAAUCUACUUUUUCGUGGGGGAUAACGUAGGGAAACUUACGCUAAUACCGCAUACGACCUACGGGUGAAAGCAGGGGAUCUUCGGACCUUGCGCGAUUGAAUGAGCCGAUGUCGGAUUAGCUAGUUGGCGGGGUAAAGGCCCUCCAAGGCGACGAUCCGUAGCUGGUCUGAGAGGAUGAUCAGCCACACUGGAACUGAGACACGGUCCAGACUCCUACGGGAGGCAGCAGUGGGGAAUAUUGGACAAUGGGCACAAGCCUGAUCCAGCCAUACCGCGUGGGUGAAGAAGGCCUUCGGGUUGUAAAGCCCUUUUGUUGGGAAAGAAAAGCAGCAGGUUAAUACCCCGCUGUUCUGACGGUACCCAAAGAAUAAGCACCGGCUAACUUCGUG
rnacentral:rRNA from 1 species